GUUCGUAGCUGGUUUGUUAAGUCUCUGGGGAAAUCUUCCGGCUUAACCGGAAGGCGUCUCAGGGAUACUGGCAGACUAGGGACCGGAAGAGGUGAGAGGUACUCCAGGGGUAGGAGUGAAAUCCUGUAAUCCUUGGGGGACCACCUGUGGCGAAGGCGUCUCACCAGGACGGCUCCGACAGUGAGGGACGAAAGCUGGGGGAGCAAACCGGAUUAGAUACCCGGGUAGUCCCAGCCGUAAACGAUGUGCGUUAGGUGUAUCGGUGACCACGAGUCACCGAGGUGCCGAAGAGAAAUCGUGAAACGUACCGCCUGGGAAGUACGGUCGCAAGGCUGAAACUUAAAGGAAUUGGCGGGGGAGCACCACAACAGGUGGAGCCUGCGGUUUAAUCGGACUCAACGCCGGGAAACUCACCAGAUAAGACAGCUGAAUGAUAGUCGGGCUGAAGACUCUACUUGACUAGCUGAGAGGAGGUGCAUGGCCGUCGUCAGUUCGUAUG
rnacentral:rRNA from 1 species